GAAACUCAUGGAAAAAAUAACAAAUGUGAUAUCAGAGCUUAAAGUGCGGUACCCCACUAGCUAUAUUUUAGUAGGAGGAGACUGGAACAUGACUCCGGAUGAAUGGGUGGACAGGAUGCCUCCAAGACUAUGCAAACCAAAUUGUAAUGAGAUUAUUAAAAGUUUUACGACAGAUAAUAAUUUAACUGAUGUUUGGAGGUGUCUCAACCCAGAUGUUGAAAGUUACUCAUGGUUUAAACCCAAUGGGGGUAACAAGUCCAGAAUCGAUUAUUGGAUGGUGAGUGAUGACAUUCUAAGAAAUACUUUACGUUCUAGAAUCUCUAAAGCACCCUUGACUGAUCAUUGUUUCAUAGAUUUAGUUUUAGGACCCGCAGUGAAAGAAGUUAGGAAUAAAGGGUAUUGGAAAUUCAAUGCCAGAUUGCUAAAGAAUGAAGACUAUUUUAUUCAGAUUAGAGAAUUGAUAAAAGAAAAUGAAGAUAAUGAAUCGUUCAGAAAUAAUAUGGGUAGAUGGGAAUUUAUUAAGUUUAAGAUAAGACAAUUUACUAUUAAAUUUAGCAAAAAACUCAGCAGGGAAAAAAGGGAAUAUGAAAGCAAUUUACUUCGAGAAAUAAAUAUGUGCUGUAGUAAAGUAGAAUUAAACUCUCAAGAGAAGAAUAAACUAAUGGAGUUACAAGUUAAAUUAGAUGAUCUCUAUCUUGAAAAAGCUCAGGGCGCCUUCAUAAGAUCAAGGGCAAAGUGGAUUGAAGCAGGUGAAAAAAACUCCGCAUACUUUAGCAAUUUGGAAAAAAGUAGACAGUUAAAAAACUCUAUUACAAGUCUAAUAAUUAAUGGAAUAGAAAAUAAAGAUGCUAGAAGUAUAGAAAAAGAGGUUUUCUCAUUCUACUCUGAAUUAUAUUCCUCUCGUUAUUCGGCAGUAGAUGCCAACAUUCUGUUUGAUAAGAUUAAGAACUCCAGAUCUUGCAUUGAUGACUCCUUUAUGGAUAUAUGUGACUCGGAUUUUAAAAUCGAGGAACUGGAUUCAGUUAUUUCUAAGAUGGCCUUAAAUAAAUCCCCAG
ensembl:lncRNA